UACGGGGGGGGCAAGCGUUGUUCGGAAUUACUGGGCGUAAAGGGCUCGUAGGCGGCCAACUUAAGUCGGAUGUGAAAUCCCCAGGCUUAACCUGGGGAACUGCAUCCGAUACUGGAUGGCUUGAAUUCGGGAGAGGGAUGCAGAAUUCCAGGUGUAGCGGUGAAAUGCGUAGAUAUCUGGAGGAAUACCGGUGGCGAAGGCGGCAUCCUGGACCGAGAUUGACGCUGAUGGAGCGAAAGCUAGGGGAGCAAACGGG
rnacentral:rRNA from 1 species